UACGUAGGGGGCAAGCGUUGUCCGGAUUUACUGGGUGUAAAGGGUGCUCAGGUGGCUCAAUAAGUCAGAGGUGAAAUCCUGCAGCUUAACUGCAGAACUGCCUUUGAUACUAUUUAGCUUGAGUACGGAAGAGGCUGAUGGAAUUUCAGGUGUAGCAGUGAAAUGCGUAGAUAUCUGAAAGAACACCAGUGGCGAAGGCGGUCAGCUGGUCCGUUACUGACACUAAAGCACGAAAGCGUGGGGAUCAAACAGG
rnacentral:rRNA from 1 species